GCCGGCUUAGCGCGGGUGGGGCCGCUUAGUGGGUGUAUGGAAGGUACCCAAAGACAACCUGUUGGGGACUGACCUGAGUUGACACACGAUGAGCCUUUUACUGCUUACGUGACAAGUCUAUUGAUUUUGCUUUUUUUUUCAGUUAAGCUUAGAGAUCAAGAGCUGGGCUUUGCAGGUUCCAACCUGUUAUGACUGUGACUCUCUGUGGCCCUGAGCAAGCUACCUGCUCAAGCUUCAGUGUCUAACUCUACAAAAUGGAGCUGGAUCUUUUGUAUGCAACUGUUGUGCUGGUAAUACUUGGAAAAUAUCAAAGUACGUGAGAAGUAACAGGAAAUUCAAGACUGGAACAUGUUCUGAUUUUAAAAAGGAGAAAAAAGUAGAUGUUGAAAAAUGCAGUCUGAUAAUCUGGACUUUUACUGAGCACCAAGCCAAACCCAGGAUGGAUCAUACCAAAGGAAAACUUCUGUAGAAACCAAGUCCUAUGUCAAGACUGCUUGGUGAGACUGGAUGCGAGCAAAGGAGAGACCAUUUUCAGAGUUAUUCUCGACAAGCUGUUGGAGUGCAAUUCAUCACUCAUCUCUACCGUGGGGAUGGACCUCCUGGGGAGACCCUCAUGCUCCGGGGGAAGGGACAAGUCACAUGGAUGGGUUCUUUCUCUGUGGCUUCCUUUUACUAGACUCUGUGUAGACUCCGCCUUUCUCUAAACCCUUGCUACAGAGAAGUUACAAUACCUUUAUUAUUAAUAAUAAAAUAAUA